rnacentral:rRNA from 1 species
GAAACCCGGUGAUCUAGCCAUGGGCAGGUUGAAGGUUGGGUAACACUAACUGGAGGACCGAACCGACUAAUGUUGAAAAAUUAGCGGAUGACCUGUGGCUGGGGGUGAAAGGCCAAUCAAACCGGGAGAUAGCUGGUUCUCCCCGAAAGCUAUUUAGGUAGCGCCUCGUGAAUUCAUCUCCGGGGGUAGAGCACUGUUUCGGCUAGGGGGCCAUCCCGGCUUACCAACCCGAUGCAAACUGCGAAUACCGGAGAAUGUUAUCACGGGAGACACACGGCGGGUGCUAACGUCCGUCGUGAAGAGGGAAACAACCCAGACCGCCAGCUAAGGUCCCAAAGUCAUGGUUAAGUGGGAAACGAUGUGGGAAGGCCCAGACAGCCAGGAUGUUGGCUUAGAAGCAGCCAUCAUUUAAAGAAAGCGUAAUAGCUCACUGGUCGAGUCGGCCUGCGCGGAAGAUGUAACGGGGCUAAACCAUGCACCGAAGCUGCGGCAGCGACACUGUGUGUUGUUGGGUAGGGGAGCGUUCUGUAAGCCUGUGAAGGUGUGUCGUGAGGCAUGCUGGAGGUAUCAGAAGUGCGAAUGCUGACAUAAGUAACGAUAAAGCGGGUGAAAAGCCCGCUCGCCGGAAGACCAAGGGUUCCUGUCCAACGUUAAUCGGGGCAGGGUGAGUCGACCCCUAAGGCGAGGCCGAAAGGCGUAGUCGAUGGGAAACGGGUUAAUAUUCCCGUACUUGGUGUUACUGCGAAGGGGGGACGGAGAAGGCUAUGUUGGCCGGGCGACGGUUGUCCCGGUUUAAGCGUGUAGGUGUGUGUUCCAGGUAAAUCCGGUUCACUUUAACACUGAGGCGUGACGACGAGGCACUACGGUGCUGAAGCAACAAAUGCCCUGCUUCCAGGAAAAGCCUCUAAGCAUCAGGUAACAUCAAAUCGUACCCCAAACCGACACAGGUGGUCAGGUAGAGAAUACCAAGGCGCUUGAGAGAACUCGGGUGAAGGAACUAGGCAAAAUGGUGCCGUAACUUCGGGAGAAGGCACGCUGACACGUAGGUGAAGUGAUUUACUCAUGGAGCUGAAGUCAGUCGAAGAUACCAGCUGGCUGCAACUGUUUAUUAAAAACACAGCACUGUGCAAACACGAAAGUGGACGUAUACGGUGUGACGCCUGCCCGGUGCCGGAAGGUUAAUUGAUGGGGUCAGCGCAAGCGAAGCUCCUGAUCGAAGCCCCGGUAAACGGCGGCCGUAACUAUAACGGUCCUAAGGUAGCGAAAUUCCUUGUCGGGUAAGUUCCGACCUGCACGAAUGGCGUAAUGAUGGCCAGGCUGUCUCCACCCGAGACUCAGUGAAAUUGAACUCGCUGUGAAGAUGCAGUGUACCCGCGGCAAGACGGAAAGACCCCGUGAACCUUUACUAUAGCUUGACACUGAACAUUGAGCCUUGAUGUGUAGGAUAGGUGGGAGGCUUUGAAGUGUGGACGCCAGUCUGCAUGGAGCCGACCUUGAAAUACCACCCUUUAAUGUUUGAUGUUCUAACGUGGACCCGUUACCCGGGUUGCGGACAGUGUCUGGUGGGUAGUUUGACUGGGGCGGUCUCCUCCUAAAGAGUAACGGAGGAGCACGAAGGUUGGCUAAUCCUGGUCGGACAUCAGGAGGUUAGUGCAAUGGCAUAAGCCAGCUUGACUGCGAGCGUGACGGCGCGAGCAGGUGCGAAAGCAGGUCAUAGUGAUCCGGUGGUUCUGAAUGGAAGGGCCAUCGCUCAACGGAUAAAAGGUACUCCGGGGAUAACAGGCUGAUACCGCCCAAGAGUUCAUAUCGACGGCGGUGUUUGGCACCUCGAUGUCGGCUCAUCACAUCCUGGGGCUGAAGUAGGUCCCAAGGGUAUGGCUGUUCGCCAUUUAAAGUGGUACGCGAGCUGGGUUUAGAACGUCGUGAGACAGUUCGGUCCCUAUCUGCCGUGGGCGCUGGAGAACUGAGGGGGGCUGCUCCUAGUACGAGAGGACCGGAGUGGACGCAUCACUGGUGUUCGGGUUGUCAUGCCAAUGGCACUGCCCGGUAGCUAAAUGCGGAAGAGAUAAGUGCUGAAAGCAUCUAAGCACGAAACUUGCCCCGAG